rnacentral:rRNA from 2 species
GCCCACCUGACCCCAUGCCGAACUCAGAAGUGAAACGCCGUAGCGCCGAUGGUAGUGUGGGGUCUCCCCAUGCGAGAGUAGGGAACUGCCAGGC